rnacentral:tRNA from 2 species
GCACAGGUGGCCGAGCGGUUAAUGGCAGCAGACUGUAAAUCUGCCACUCUUCGAGUUACGGAGGUUCGAAUCCUCCCCUGUGCACCA